CGCUGCUGCCUCGCAGUUAGGAGACCCAGGUUCAUUUCCCGGGUCCACUCUGCGUGGAGUUUGCAUGUUUUCCCCGUGUCUGCGUGGGUUUCCUCCGGGCGCUCCGGUUUCCUCCCACAGUCCAAAGACAUGCAGGUUAGGUGGAUUGGUGAUUCUAAAUUGGCCCUAGAGUGUGCUUGGUGUGUGGGUGUGUGUGUCCUGCGGUGGGUUGGCACCCUGCCCGGGAUUGGUUCCCUGCCUUGUGCCCUGUGUUGGCUGGGAUUGGACCAGCAGACCCCCGUGACCCUGUGUUCGGAUUCAGCGGGUUGGAAAAUGGAUGGAUGGAUGGAAGAAACUCUAUUAGACCAAAGAAGAAGCGACGAAACGAAUUGUUUGUUAUUUCUGACAAUGGAAGAUCUUAUCACGAUCAAAAAUACCACAGACAUUCCGUCCGUACUUCAAUCUUCAGAUGUGUUUUUGUGCCCUUUCUGUCAUCCACGACUGUAUUCUUCACGCUCGUAUAUACGAGCAAAUGAACACUUGCGAGAUCUCCGCAGAACAGCAGUUUCCUACGGAGUCAGGACCAAGAAGAUCAUGGCAGCAGUGAACUCGUUGAGGAAUAUACUGAUACAGGCACACCAAGUGUAGGAGAGCAGGCUGGCUGUGUGGCUGCAGUAGGGCAGCUGACUGAAGAACAAGUGGCUCAGGUUUUUGCAGCUGCAGAGAUCAGCAGGGCCUACAGGAGGACUCAACAUGAAAAACUGUUAGAGUUCAUAAUAAAGGACCAUGGAGCAGAUGAUCACUUGCUGGCUGUUGUAUCUCAUAAGGUAUCGUCCAAAUGGUUAAAAGAUUAUGAAAAUCCUAAAGGUCACCGGGUAAUGACUUAUAUAGAAGAUGAGGAGCUGAUAGAUGGCUUCUACAACUUCUUGGAUGAAGAGCUGUAAGCACUUUUGAGAGGAUUGACAGAGUUUGCAUCAUUUUGGAUGUGCUGAUGCCAGAGGUUAAUUAGCCUUCAGUAAAUCUCUAAUGAGUACCGAAAGUGUGUCUAUGAGUAACAUCCUCUCUUUUUCUGUCUUUUUGAUGGGCUCUUAUUAAAGCUAUACAAACAGUUGAGAGGACUUCUCUGCCAGAGGCAGAAAAUCUGUUCAUGGAUGGACCAGUAUACAGUGAGUGGUAUGUCAUGUGGAAAAUAAACAGUCCUUUCUUUUUCUUUUCAGCGCCAUUAUUCUGUUAAACGGAAUACCCUAUAGUAGUUGUGAAUUUAGACAAGAAUAUAAACUAAAUAUAUAUAAAUGUGAAUAUACAUGUUUAAAGUGACAUUUAAACUAUACAUUAGUACAUUUUUAGUAUUGGUAAAAUUACAUUUAGAAGUAUGCUAUAUGUAGCAUUUAUUCUAAACUGUACAAGGUCAAGAAUUGUGGUUUCAAAUGACAAAUACAGAAGUGUUUCUGGUUGGUAUGAUUAGAAUUUGUUCAUUUGUGAGGUUGUUUUUGUUUUGUUUUUUUAGUGAGAGGGAAGAGUUUGACAAACUUGUUUUGCAACAGUUGGAAGCAAAAGGAAAGCAACACUGAGGCAUUUAAACUCAGGAUUACAUCUCAACCCUACUCAAAUAAAUGUGUCUCUUUCUUUACUUCUCUUUUGCCUUUUUAUUUCUGUGUGUUAAGAUGACUGUGCAAAGUAGAGUUGUAUAUAUUUAAUGUAACUAUUGAUGUAAAUAAUAAAGGACACUUUCUGUUAUUGUUAAAGAUUGUUGAUUAAGUUCUGUAUAUUUGAAAUUGCGUGUCUGUUUUUAGACAAUUGAUGUCAUCUGGAUUUUUUCUUUAAUUGUUAUAACUGCUUUGUACAGUUGUUAUGCAUUUUACAUUGUUGUUUUAUUUUUAUAUAAUAUAUAGAAGCGGGCAUGCUGUUGUUUUAAUACUUCAGUAUAUUCCUUGAUCAGUCUGUUUGUUAAAUUUAAUCUUUGUGAAUUCUUUCUUUCAAUUCAACUGACCAAUCAUUAUUGAUAAUUGUAAAUAUUUCUUGAAAUUGUUGCACAAUUUAUAUUGAAUAAUUAUUAAUAAAAUCUUGUUUU